rnacentral:rRNA from 1 species
AUUGAACGCUGGCGGCAGGCCUAACACAUGCAAGUCGAGCGAGCGGCGGACGGGUGAGUAAUGUAUGGGGACUGCCCGAUAGCGGGGGAUAACUACUGGAAACGGUGGCUAAUACCGCAUACUAUCGGAUAACCCAUAUGGGAUUAGCUAGUAGGUGGGGUAAAGGCUCACCUAGGCGACGAUCUCUAGCUGGUCUGAGAGGAUGAUCAGCCACGCUGGGACUGAGACACGGCCCGGACUGCUACGGGGGCAGCAGUUGGGAAUAUUGCACAAUGGGCGAAAGCCUGAUGGAGCCAGGCGGCGUGUAUGAAGAAGGCCGUAGGGUUGUAAAGUACUUUCAGCGGGGAGGCGUUUCCCGCAGAAGAAGCACCGACUAACGCCGUGCCAGCAGCCGCGGUAAUAC